GUCUCGAACUCACUGAGAUCUGCCUCCAAAGUGCUGGGAUUAAAGGUGUGUGCUACCAUGGCUCAACAUCUACAGCAUAUUCUUUAAGCAAGCAAAUAAGCAAUUUAAAAGCAGCCAUCUGUUAUGAUUAUAUAGCACCUAUCAUUUUUCUGGGUUCUUCUCAGUCUCUACAAGACUAUCAUUUUUUUUCUUAUCAAACAAAAGUUGAUUCAUCAAGUACAUCUGCAUGAUGAAAGCAUCUUCUGGGGGUUGAACUGAUCGUCUGAACUUUCAACUCUCCUUUGCACUGCCAUGGAUCACUUCCUGGAUGGGAGGCUCCCCUCCCCCCCCACUUUGCAUCUGAGCAGCGUGCAGUUUCCAGUUCCCUAUGGUGAUGUGAAGGCCAAUCUGAGCACACAGCUGACCCACCAAUAUCACAGUACCAACAUCAAUUUCAUAACUGAAGAAACUCGUUGAAGGAGGCUAACCGCUCUAGAGUCAGUUGAGCAUGCGCAUUAGUAACUUCCCUAUGAGCCAAACAGAAGUCUGCUGCAAGGCCUAGAGAUCGCUGAGAUCUUGAUGACUUGGAUCCAAUGAGAGAGAGACAACACAGCAUUCCAGAUGGCACCACCCCUGGCUCCCAGGAAGGGGUAUAAGAGGCCUGCCCAUACCCUCAAUAAAGGAGUUGGCAUUUA